rnacentral:rRNA from 1 species
AGCGAACGCUGGCGGCAGGCUUAACACAUGCAAGUCGAACGCCCCGCAAGGGGAGUGGCAGACGGGUGAGGAACACGUGGGAAUAUGCCCUUUGGUUCGGAAUAACUCAGGGAAACUUGAGCUAAUACCGAAUAAGCGCGAAAGCGGAAAGAUUUAUCGCCGAAGGAGUAGCCCGCGUCUGAUUAGCUUGUUGGUGAGGUAACGGCUCACCAAGGCGACGAUCAGUAGCUGGUCUGAGAGGAUGAUCAGCCACACUGGGACUGAGACACGGCCCAGACUCCUACGGGAGGCAGCAGUGGGGAAUAUUGGACAAUGGGCGCAAGCCUGAUCCAGCCAUGCCGCGUGAGUGAUGAAGGCCUUAGGGUUGUAAAGCUCUUUUGUCCGGGAAGAUAAUGACUGUACCGGAAGAAUAAGCCCCGGCUAACUUCGUGCCAGCCGCCGCCGUAAAAC